rnacentral:rRNA from 1 species
ACUAAUUUUUAAAUUAAUUAAAAUUACCAGUUCUCGUCUGAUCAUUGAAAUCAAGCAACAUUAAGCACGGUUAGUAUACUUGCAUGGGUGACCGCUUGGGAACACCAAUCUUUUUUU